rnacentral:rRNA from 1 species
AGAGUUUGAUCAUGGCUCAGGACGAACGCUGGCGGCGUGCCUAACACAUGCAAGUCGAACGGAGAUUUCAGCAAUGGAAUCUUAGUGGCGAACGGGUGAGUAACGCGUAGACAACCUGCCUUCUAGUUGGGGACAACACCGCGAAAGUGGUGCUAAUACCGAAUGUUGUAUUUUAGGUGCAUGCUUGAAAUACUAAAGGU